rnacentral:rRNA from 1 species
UACGACGGGGGCGAGCGUUGUUCGGAUUUACUGGGCGUAAAGGGCGCGCAGGCGGCUCAUUUUGUCAGGCGUGAAAGCCCCGGGCUUAACCUGGGAACUGCGUUUGAUACGGAUGGGCUAGAGUUCGGGAGAGGAGAGUGGAAUUCCCAGUGUAGAGGUGAAAUUCGUAGAUAUUGGGAAGAACACCGGUGGCGAAGGCGGCUCUCUGGACCGAGACUGACGCUGAGGCGCGAAAGCGUGGGGAGCAAACAGG